rnacentral:rRNA from 1 species
GGGAGGUUACAUGGCAGUCGAGGGGCAUCGGGAGGGAGCUUACUUUCCUUGCCGGCGACCGGCGCACGGGUGAGCAUACGUAUGCAACCUGCCCUCUUCAGGGGGACAACCUUCCCAAAGGGAGGCUAAUCCCGCGUAUAUCGGUUUCGGGCAUCCGUUAUCGAGGAAAGAUUCAUCGGAAGAGGAUGGGCAUGCGGCGCAUUAGCUAGACGGCGGGGUAACGGCCCACCGUGGCGACGAUGCGUAGGGGUUCUGAGAGGAAGGUCCCCCACACUGGUACUGAGACACGGACCAGACUCCUACGGGAGGCAGCAGUGAGGAAUAUUGGUCAAUGGGAGAGAUCCUGAACCAGCCAAGCCGCGUGAGGGAAGACGGCCCUAUGGGUUGUAAACCUCUUUUGUCGGAGAACAAAACCCGGGACGUGUCCCGGACUGCGUGUAUCCGAAGAAAAAGCAUCGGCUAACUCCGUGCCAGCAGCCGCGGUAAUACGGAGGAUGCGAGCGUUAUCCGGAUUUAUUGGGUUUAAAGGGUGCGUAGGCGGUCUGUUAAGUCAGCGGUAAAAUUGCGGGGCUCAACCCCGUCGAGCCGUUGAAACUGGCAGACUUGAGUUGGCGAGAAGUACGCGAAAUGCGCGGUGUAGCGGUGAAAUGCAUAGAUAUCGCGCAGAACUCCGAUUGCGAAGGCAGCGUACCGGCGCCAGACUGACGCUGAGGCACGAAAGCGUGGGGAUCGAACAGGAUUAGAUACCCU